GAGCGGGCGUAGCAAUACGUCAGCGGCAGACGGGUGAGUAACGCCGUGGGAACGUACCUUUUGGUUCGGAACAACACAGGGAAACUUGUGCUAAUACCGGAUAAGCCCUUACGGGGAAAGAUUUAUCGCCGAAAGAUCGGCCCGCGUCUGAUUAGCUAGUUGGUGAGGUAACGGCUCACCAAGGCGACGAUCAGUAGCUGGUCUGAGGGGAUGAUCAGCCACAUUGGGACUGAGACACGGCCCAAACUCCUACGGGAGGCAGCAGUGGGGAAUAUUGGACAAUGGGCGCAAGCCUGAUCCAGCCAUGCCGCGUGAGUGAUGAAGGCCCUAGGGUUGUAAAGCUCUUUUGUGCGGGAAGAUAAUGACGGUACCGCAAGAAUAAGCCCCGGCUAACUUCGUGCCAGCAGCCGCGGUAAUACGAAGGGGGCUAGCGUUGCUCGGAAUCACUGGGCGUAAAGGGUGCGUAGGCGGGUCUUUAAGUCAGGGGUGAAAUCCUGGAGCUCAACUCCAGAACUGCCUUUGAUACUGAAGAUCUUGAGUUCGGGAGAGGUGAGUGGAACUGCGAGUGUAGAGGUGAAAUUCGUAGAUAUUCGCAAGAACACCAGUGGCGAAGGCGGCUCAC
rnacentral:rRNA from 1 species